CCGCGGGCGGCCGCGCGCAUGCGGGGCUCACUCGGCUGCAGCCGGCGCCGCUGCCACUCCCGGGAGCAUGAAGGACCGAACCCAGGAGCUCCGCACGGCCAAGGAUAGCGAUGAUGAUGAUGACGUCACCGUCACCGUGGACCGAGACCGCUUCAUGGAUGAGUUCUUUGAGCAGGUGGAGGAGAUCCGGGGCUUCAUUGACAAGAUCGCUGAGAACGUGGAGGAGGUGAAGCGGAAGCACAGUGCCAUCCUGGCCUCCCCCAACCCCGACGAGAAGACGAAGGAGGAGCUGGAAGAACUCAUGUCCGACAUAAAGAAGACAGCGAACAAAGUUCGUUCCAAGUUAAAGAGCAUCGAGCAGAGUAUUGAGCAGGAGGAAGGCCUGAACCGCUCCUCAGCUGACUUGAGGAUCCGGAAGACACAGCACUCCACGCUGUCGCGAAAGUUUGUGGAGGUCAUGUCAGAGUACAAUGCAACGCAGUCUGACUACCGCGAACGCUGCAAGGGCCGCAUUCAGAGGCAGCUGGAGAUCACUGGCCGGACCACAACAAGUGAGGAGCUGGAGGACAUGCUGGAGAGUGGGAACCCUGCCAUCUUUGCCUCUGGGAUCAUCAUGGAUUCCAGCAUCUCGAAGCAGGCUCUGAGUGAGAUUGAGACGCGGCACAGCGAGAUCAUCAAGCUGGAGAACAGCAUCCGGGAGCUGCAUGACAUGUUCAUGGACAUGGCCAUGCUUGUUGAGAGUCAGCCUCACUCAGGGUGCUUUCCUGAAGUCCUGCCCCGAGACCCCUCCUGACCCUGAUGAGGGGGCCCUCUGGAGCUCGGGUGCCCCCGGCCCUGCAGGGGGAGAUGAUUGACAGGAUCGAGUACAACGUGGAGCACGCGGUGGACUAUGUGGAGAGGGCCGUGUCUGACACCAAGAAGGCUGUCAAGUACCAGAGCAAGGCACGCCGGAAGAAAAUCAUGAUCAUCAUCUGCUGUGUGAUUCUGGGCAUUGUCAUCGCCUCCACCUUUGGCGGCAUCUUCGGAUAGAAGCCCCUAACCUGCCACUCCACUCCGGAAGGCCACCCCAAGGAGGCCCCUGGCUGCUGCUGCCUGGCUGGGUUGCCCUCCCCACCCCUGCCUCUGGCUCGGAGCACUCUCCCUCCCACCCCAUACUGCGCCAUUCUCUGCCAUGGGCCCUCCAGUCCCACCCUGCCCUGAGCCGUGUCGUGUGCAUGAUCUUUGUGACAGUGUCGUCUGUACAGAAGAGGCAGAGGGAAAUAGCCAGUGGGCCCUGGCCACCUCCCUUUACCAGACAGGGCUGCCCAGGGUGGCACACGCUACCCCUCCUUUCCUCCAGUAAUGCCACUCAGGCCUGGGGGCUGCCCUUUCCCAGGAUCAAGGGUCUUUCUAGACCCCAACCUUGCAUCCAGCUGACCUGCCCACCUGCCCUGUCCUCUGGCCUCUUCAGCUGUCCCCACAAGCCGAGCCCCAAGGGGUGGGGAACAGCUGGCCACAUGGUGCUGCUUUUCAGGUUAGGGGAGGGGUGGCCUUGAGUGAUAGCCCAGCUCCAAGCCUCUAAUAGCUGAUCACUGCCAGGGAGGCUCAGGGUGCUGUGGCUUCUGGCCAUGUCAAGACUGGGCUCCCUCCCCUGCACAGGGGCAAAGUUCAACAGGCCUUCCUCAACUUCCCUUCCCACAUUCCUGCAGCCCCAGGAGCAACCCCUCUGGGCUAGCCCAACCCCAGGAGACCCUCUGGAAGAGGCUGGCUGGUGCCCAGUCCCAGCCACCCCUGCACCUCGAGGCAGAGCAGGCCUCAGUCCAGUCCUCAAGCCAGUGUUGCAUGUUUGGGACAGCAGUCCCUGCUCUUCUGUGCUCCAGGAAAUCAGAUAUCACAUCAGGCCUGCAAUCUCCACCUGCCCUUCUGUCCCCCAUUGAUGUGCCACAUGGGUGUCAGUGUCUCGGACGCAGUAUUCAGCAGCCAGCCAGGGAGGGCCGCCUCCCCCUCCCUGCCAUCUUGGGGCUUGUCAGAAACGUGCCCCCGCCCCAAGACCACUCUCCCUCGUCAACAGGCAAGGAGUGUGCAUGCGAGUGCAUGCAGUAGGGGAUGGGGCCAUGUCUGGGUGCCCCGUCUGCCCUCCGCUUUGCUCCUGCCCAGUGACUGUGACCACUGUCCGUGUUGCCUUCUUCAAAGCGACUCCGUCCCAUCCCUUCACCAAAGGUCUUGGUACAACCAGCUGCCCAUUUUGUGAAAUUUUUAUGUAGAAUAAACAUUUGUAUCUGUA